ACUCGCGUAGCUUAACGGUAAAGCAGACGGCUGAUAACCGUCAGAUAAGAGUUCGAUUCUCUUCGUGAGUACCA
rnacentral:tRNA from 1 species